GGUGGGGGUGCUGGGUUGGAGAAUGUGACAGAGGACAAGAAUAGAAUACAGUUAUAGAACUGGAAUUCGCUUUUUCAUGCUAAUUUCCCUGAAUACGUUCCAGAGGACAAGGACUGUGUUGUUCAUCACAGUAUUCCAGAACUUAAAAGGAACUGGCACAUAAUUGGAGCUUACUAAUAUUCGUCAAAAAAAUGAACAAAUGAGGCAAUGACAGUGGUCUUGUGAAGCUGCUGCUAUUUACAGGGACUCACUCAUUCCGCAAGUAUUUUUUGCACCUCCUACCACACUCCACUCAGUUACAUGCUGGGAAUACCACAGUAAAGAAGAGCUGUUUAUCCCUCUUCUCAUUUCUGCCCCGCUCUGAGCCCUGAGUUUUAGUGCCAGUGCUUUUACACAAAUCCAGCUUUACAUCUUGAGUGAAAUAUAAUUUCAUAGGAAUGUAAUUCUGGAAUGAUCUCAUUGAAAAAGCACAUCCAGCAAAGGCCAUGAGCAGACUUCAGGCCAGCCCAUUCACACCCAGAGCCAAGAAGACUGCAGACCCCUUUCCCUUAAAUGGAGAAUGUGCCUGGGACCCAAAGCAAAGCACACCAGCUACCUAGGGAUAUUCUCCUGCCUACAGCCAGCCAGCCUGCCUGCCUGCAGACCACGGCCAGGGCCCACAGCAGCGACCACCAUGAGCCACUCUGGCACCAUACAAGGACAGACUCGAGGGCAUCCAAGCAAACAGGCCUCACCCCAGAGACGCUGCCUCUGACCCUCGGGAGGGCUCUGGCUCCAUGCCAUCAAACAUGAGCUGAAAAUAUUAACACUCCCCUGUCAUAGCCCCAUCAGAGACAGAAGAGUAUCCAGAAGCCCAGCUGCUAAAGAUCCUCCCCACACCUACCUGCCUUCCUAACUCUCGGAAACCCAAUUACCAUCUGACCCUAUUGAGACAGAGUCAGAAAGUGGGGCAUUUGACUCUGAAACUAGAUGUCAAAGCCAGGCCCAGCCCAGUCCAGCAGAGCUGAGGCAGAGCAGAACUGGGGAAGAAAUAAUGUAGUCUGAUGGACGCUCAAAAAAUCCUACUGAAAAAAAUUACCAAGUUGGAAUCUCUGGAAAAAAUGUCCUCAUUCCAAAUCUGUUCCCCACCCCCAAUGAAUUCUCAUAAAAUGGACCAGAAAAGGAGGAAAAAAAAAAUUAAUGGCUUGCAGGGUCUAUGGGAACUCUCUGUCUCUCUGUACUAUCUUUGCAACUGUUCUGUAAAUCUGAAACUAUUCUAAAAUGUAACAUUUAUAAAAAAUAAUGGCUUAUCACAGUUUCCUCUGUAAGAAACAAUGGGAAAAGGGUGAUCUUUGGGUAUGAAACUCUGCCUCUACCAGCUAUGAAGCUUUGGAUGUGUUGCCUACCCUCUGUAAGCUUCAGUUUUCUCAUCUGUAAAAUGGAGAGAACAGUUCCAACCACGAAGUGCUGUUGUACAGAUUGAGUAAGAUAGUGCAUGCAAAGG
rnacentral:lncRNA from 1 species